UACGUAGGGUGCGAGCGUUAAUCGGAAUUACUGGGCGUAAAGCGUGCGCAGGCGGCUUUGCAAGACAGAUGUGAAAUCCCCGGGCUCAACCUGGGAACUGCAUUUGUGACUGCAAGGCUAGAGUACGGCAGAGGGGGAUGGAAUUCCGCGUGUAGCAGUGAAAUGCGUAGAUAUGCGGAGGAAUACCAAUGGCGAAGGCAAUCCCCUGGGCCUGUACUGACGCUCAUGCACGAAAGCGUGGGGAGCAAACAGG
rnacentral:rRNA from 1 species